rnacentral:tRNA from 1 species
GCCUGGGUGGCUCAGUCAGUUGAGCAUCUGACUUCGGCUCAGGUCAUGAUCUCACAGUUUGUGAGUUCAAGUCCCACGUCAGGCU